rnacentral:rRNA from 1 species
CUACGUGCCAGCAGCCGCGGUAAUACGUAGGUGGCAAGCGUUGUCCGGAAUUAUUGGGCGUAAAGCGCGCGCAGGCGGAUUGGUCAGUCUGUCUUAAAAGUUCGGGGCUUAACCCCGUGAUGGGAUGGAAACUGCCAAUCUAGAGUAUCGGAGAGGAAAGUGGAAUUCCUAGUGUAGCGGUGAAAUGCGUAGAUAUUAGGAAGAACACCAGUGGCGAAGGCGACUUUCUGGACGAAAACUGACGCUGAGGCGCGAAAGCCAGGGGAGCGAACGGGAUUAGAUACCCCGGUAGUCCUGGCCGUAAACGAUGGGUACUAGGUGUAGGAGGUAUCGACCCCUUCUGUGCCGGAGUUAACGCAAUAAGUACCCCGCCUGGGGAGUACGACCGCAAGGUUGAAACUCAAAGAAAUUGACGGGGGCCCGCACAAGCGGCGGAGCAUGCGGAUUAAUUCGAUGCAACGCGAAGAACCUUACCAAGGCU